rnacentral:rRNA from 1 species
UACGAAGGUGGCAAGCGUUGUUCGGAUUUACUGGGCGUACAGGGAGCGUAGGCGGUUGGAUAAGCCCUCCGUGAAAUCUCCAGGCUUAACCUGGAAAGUGCAGAGGGGACUGUUCAGCUAGAGGAUGGGAGAGGAGCGCGGAAUUCCCGGUGUAGCGGUGAAAUUCGUAGAUAUCGGGAGGAACACCGGUGGCGAAGGCGGCGACCUGGGUAGAUACUGACGCUGAGGUGCGAAAGCGUGGGGAGCAAACAGG